UACGGGGGGUGCGAGCGUUGUCCGGAAUCACUGGGCGUAAAGGGCGCGUAGGCGGUUCGAUAAGUCCCGUGUGAAAUCCCUCGGCUCAACUGAGGAAUGGCACGGGAAACUGACGGGCUUGAGUUCGGGAGAGGGAAGCGGAAUUCCGGGUGUAGCGGUGAAAUGCGUAGAUAUCCGGAGGAACACCGGUGGCGAAGGCGGCUUCCUGGACCGACACUGACGCUGGAGGCG
rnacentral:rRNA from 1 species